GGAAGGAUGCCGGAGUGGUCUAACGGAACGGCUUGGAAAGCCGUGACUCGCAAGGGUUCCGUGGGUUCGAAUCCCACUCCUUCCG
rnacentral:tRNA from 4 species